CACGUAGGCACCAAGCGUUGUCCGGAUUUAUUGGGCGUAAAGAGCUCGUAGGCGGUUCAGUAAGUCGGGUGUGAAAACUUUGGGCUUCACCCAAAGCGUGCAUCCGAUACUGCUGUGACUUGAGUUCGGUAGGGGAGUGGGGAAUUCCUAGUGUAGCGGUGAAAUGCGCAGAUAUUAGGAGGAACACCGGUGGCGAAGGCGCCACUCUGGGCCGAAACUGACGCUGAGGAGCGAAAGCAUGGGUAGCAAACAGG
rnacentral:rRNA from 1 species